CGCCCUCUCGGAACGGAAGCCACAGGACCCCCGCAGCGGCACCAGCAGUUGGUUGCCUCACACGUCCUUUCGAAAGGGUUCUUUCUUCUCAUUGGUUGUUGCGGCCGUAGCGUCUAAAAGCUCUUCGCUAUUGGGUUAAAUGUUUGUCAUUGCACCUACUCGCCCCGCCUAACUCUUGGAGGCAGGGGCUUUGGCAGCCCCAAAGGUCAUUGGCUGGCCAGGCUGUCAGUCAGGCAGAUAACGGCGCAGGGUCUGCGGUGGGGAGUGGGUGACCUGAAGCGAGCGUGCGCGGGGGCGGCGGGCCUCCAAGUUCUAGGCCAAGUCUCCGAGAGUGAAGCCAUCUGUGACCUGAGCCGACUUCCCCUCUGCUGCCGCUGUUCUAAGCGGCCUCUCCACGCUGUCGAGUAAAAGUACAGUUCUGCCUUAGUACAGUUCUUCUGAAUGUUGCGGGACCUAGCCCCGCGGCCUGGCAGUCUGGUCAGUGCCCAGCGGGAACCACCUUCCCGCUCCCUCUGGUCCCGCGGCCCCUUUAACCCGAAAGCUGCUCUCUUCGUGCCCCAGGGACAGGCUUCGGGCGUGCAGAUGCGCCAAGGGUCAGGCCAGCUUGAGUCAGGCGCUCCGGCGCUUUCCUGUAGGAUCUAGGAAUGUCCCCGAAUUCUAGGGUAGGCAUCAACGAGACCAGCUUGGUUAUGUUUUUGUUGGUUCCUAUCCUGUUACCUCCCCGCCGUGGAUCCCAACGCAAAUGCUAAUCCAGCCCCAAAGGUAUAAUUUACAUAGAAGCACACUCUUUCACAACCUGAACACACUCCUGUAACCAGCACCUAGAUCAGGAAACAGAACGGUACCUGCACCUCAGAAUACCCCCUCAUGCUUGGGCCUGGUUCACUCCGCCUGACCUACCUAGGAUGGCCACGACCACGUCGUCGCGCAGGAUCUCGAUGGAGCCUCGGGAGAUGAAGUAGAGCGUGGAGAGCACGUCGCCGAGGUGCACCAGCGUGUCCCCAGGUGGC